GCUAGUAUCUCCAGCAGAAGUAUGAACUUGGAUUGUGGAUAUGCAAAGCAAACUUACCAACCGUGUUGCCAAAUAUUUACAACUCACUGGCAAAUAAGCUGAAGAAAAGAAGUUGAUAACCAGUAAUUGGAAGUGGCAAGUGCAGGUUUCUAUUUGUGUAAAUAAGAGGAUGCUACACCCCUCUUUCCUCAACACUGCUAAAUCAAAAGAGAAGCAAGAUGUUCCCAUAAGUUACAGUGCUAUGCAGUACCAAAAUAAAUACU